rnacentral:rRNA from 1 species
CAGGAUGAACGCUAGCUACAGGCUUAACACAUGCAAGUCGAGGGAAACGAUAGAGAAAGCUUGCUUUUUCUAGGCGUCGACCGGCGCACGGGUGAGUAACGCGUAUCCAACCUGCCCAUCACUUGGGGGAUAACCUUGCGAAAGUAAGACUAAUACCCAAUGAUAUCUCUAGAAGACAUCUGAAAGAGAUUAAAGAUUUAUCGGUGAUGGAUGGGGAUGCGUCUGAUUAGCUUGUUGGCGGGGUAACGGCCCACCAAGGCGACGAUCAGUAGGGGUUCUGAGAGGAAGGUCCCCCACAUUGGAACUGAGACACGGUCCAAACUCCUACGGGAGGCAGCAGUGAGGAAUAUUGGUCAAUGGACGAGAGUCUGAACCAGCCAAGUAGCGUGCAGGAUGACGGCCCUAUGGGUUGUAAACUGCUUUUAUAAGGGAAUAAAGUGAGUCUCGUGAGGCUUUUUGCAUGUACCUUAUGAAUAAGGACCGGCUAAUUCCGUG